UACGUAGGGGGCGAGCGUUGUCCGGAUUUAUUGGGCGUAAAGAGCGUGUAGGCGGCUUGGUAGGUCUCGCGUCAAAACCUGCGGCUCAACCGCAGUUCGCGUGGGAAACCACCUAGCUAGAGUCCGGAAGAGGAGAACGGAAUUCCCAGUGUAGCGGUGAAAUGCGCAGAUAUUGGGAAGAACACCAGUGGCGAAGGCGGUUCUCUGGGCCUUACCUGACGCUGAGGCGCGAAAGCUAGGGGAGCGAACAGG
rnacentral:rRNA from 1 species